GGGGAAGUGCUGGAACUGGCAGACAGGCGUGACUUAGGAUCACGUGCCGUAAGGCGUGAGGGUUCGAGUCCCUCCUUCCUCA
rnacentral:tRNA from 1 species